UCGCCUCUUUAUCAAAAACAUCUUUUCUUGUUAGUUUUUGAAGUAUGGCCUGCCCACUGACGUUGAUUGAAGGGCCGCGGUAUUUUGACCGUGCAAAGGUAGCGUAAUCAUUAGUUCUUUAAUUGUGAUCUGGUAUGAAUGGCUUGACGAGGCAUGGGCUGUCUUGGAUGUGAAUUUAUUUAUUGAAUUUGGUUUAAGAGUUAAAAUUCUUAGAUGGUUUUAUGGGACGAGAAGACCCUAUAGAGUUUGACAUUCCCCUACCAACGUUCUUGUUUGUUCUUGGUUAUUUAUAUUCUUAUUGUUUUGUUGGUGUGAGGGGAGGAAGUACCUAACUCCUCUUUAAUUGGAUAU
rnacentral:rRNA from 1 species